rnacentral:lncRNA from 1 species
GAGAGGCGCCUCCGCCGCUCCUUUCUCAUGGAAAUGGCCCGGGAGCCCGGCCGUCGCGGCGCCCCUCCCGCGGGAAAAAGGCGAGCCCCGGCCCCCGGUGGCCCCUCGCUCCGCGGACAAAUCCGGCGAACAAUGCGCCCGCCCAGAGGGCGGCCCAGCUGCUGGGCCGGGGAUCUGGCCNCGGGACACAAAGGGGCCCGCAUGCCUAGGACGUCACGAGAAGGGUGGGGGCGACCGCGGGGGAGAAUGUGGCCACCCGGCCCCUGACCACGUGUGUCCGCAGCUCUGAGUGCUCGAGAUCCCGAAGAGGGAGACGAGGGCCAGAAGACAAAGGGAGGGGCUGGGGAAGCGGCGGGCUGAGGGGCGCGGGAGGGAAGUGUGCAGCUUCCCGGGUUGUGUUGGCGCGUCGGGCUACCCACGGGCAGUCCUGGGCGCUGUCCUCGGUGCUGGCCGUGGAGUCACCCAGAGAGACGGGGCGCUAAUGCGCUUGGGGCGAAGGAAUGUCCUGAGUAUCAUCACUGUUCCCAUCUAGGGAGCCCUGGAUAGUUGCCGCAGCAACCCCAGAGAAAUGGGGUAGGGCCUGGGGUCACUGCAGUCUGUCCCCUGGGCGCUCUAGUUGGGGGUCGCAGAGUGAAGGCGGUGAUCACUUUGAUUCUGAGGAAACCCCUGAACCUUAGGUUGAGGUUCGAGCUGUGGAAGUGGGGGAUCUGCAUCUGCACCCAAGGUCUAAAUCUGGGUGGAUACACUGGACCGCAUCCCGCCCCCAAACCUCUCUCCAGCUAUGCGGGACGCGAGGCACGUGAGGCUCUGCAGCCCAGAGAGAAAAUGACAAAUCCUCCUCCUCCCUCCCCCCACCACCAUCUGCAGCCGCAGUGACACCCACUCAGGUCUGCUGCAGGCAUUUUUUUUUUCCUGUCCUCGGUAGCCAGCGCCACCUGCUGGCGUCCUGGUAUGAGACUCUGCUCUGGCAUGUCUCCUCCCAGCACGGUUUCCGAUCCCCAAGGUUACAGGCCCUAUUACCUAGGGCAGUGGUUCUCACCCUUCAGAAUGCUGCUACCCUUUAAUACAGUUCUUCAUGUUGUGGUGACCCCCUAACCAUAAAAUUAUUUUCGUUGCUA